rnacentral:rRNA from 1 species
CUGAUCCAGCCAUGCCGCGUGUGUGAAGAAGGCCCUCGGGUUGUAAAGCACUUUCAGCGAGGAAGAACGCCUGGCGGUUAAUACCCGCCAGGAAAGACAUCACUCGCAGAAGAAGCACCGGCUAACUCCGUGCCAGCAGCCGCGGUAAUACGGAGGGUGCAAGCGUUAAUCGGAAUUACUGGGCGUAAAGCGCGCGUAGGUGGCUUGAUAAGCCGGUUGUGAAAGCCCCGGGCUCAACCUGGGAACGGCAUCCGGAACUGUCAGGCUAGAGUGCAGGAGAGGAAGGUAGAAUUCCCGGUGUAGCGGUGAAAUGCGUAGAGAUCGGGAGGAAUACCAGUGGCGAAGGCGGCCUUCUGGACUGACACUGACACUGAGGUGCGAAAGCGUGGGUAGCAAACAGGAUUAGAUACCCUGGUAGUCCACGCCGUAAACGAUGUCGACCAGCCGUUGGGUGCCUAGCGCACUUUGUGGCGAAGUUAACGCGAUAAGUCGACCGCCUGGGGAGUACGGCCGCAAGGUUAAAACUCAAAUGAA